GGGACCCCAGGUCAGGYGGGACUACCCGCUGAGUUUAA
rnacentral:rRNA from 1 species